AUUGAAAGCUGGCGGCAGGACUAACACAUGCAAGUCGAGCGAGCGGCGGACGGGUGAGUAAUGUAUGGGGACUGCCCGAUAGAGGGGGAUAACUACUGGAAACGGUGGCUAAUACCGCAUACUAUCGGAUAACCCAUAUGGGAUUAGCUAGUAGGUGGGGUAAAGGCUCACCUAGGCGACGAUCUCUAGCUGGUCUGAGAGGAUGAUCAGCCACGCUGGUACUGAGACAAGGACCAGACUCCUACGGAGGCAGCAUUGGGGUAUAUUGCAGCAUGGGCUCAAGCCUGAUGCAGCCAUGUUGCGUGUAUGAAGAAGGCCUUAGGGUUGCAAAGUACUUUCAGCGGGGAGUCGUGACCCGCAGAAGAAGCACCGGCUAACUCCGUGCCAUCAGCCUCGGUAAUAC
rnacentral:rRNA from 1 species